ensembl:snRNA U6 U6 spliceosomal RNA
GUGCUCUCUUCACCAACACAUACACAAAACUGAAAAGAUAACAGAGAUUAACAUGGCCCCCAUGCAAGGAUGACAUGCAAAUUCAUGAAGCAUUCCAUACUUUU